GUGAAAACUACACUUGGGGUGGGGGUUUAUAUAUAUAGAAUAGAGUUACUAUGCUAGAAGCAUAAAGGAUCUGGUGCUUUCGAUUUUUUGGCUCUUAGAUUAGUCUCUUUAAUUAUUUCUAAUAUUUGGAUUAAUACUAUUAUCCUGUGGGGACCACUCAAUUCUAGAGAUACUAUUCAACUUUAGAGGGACCGCAAUUAUUCCAACCGUAUAAUUUUUGAUCAAAUAGUCAAAAAAUUAAAAAUAUCAAAUCCUUCGUACUUCCGAUAGCAUAAUAAAUCUACACUAUAUAUAUA
rnacentral:lncRNA from 1 species